rnacentral:rRNA from 1 species
UGAGGAAUAUUGGACAAUGGAGGCAACUCUGAUCCAGCCAUGCCGCGUGAAGGACUAAGGCCCUAUGGGCUGUAAACUUCUUUAGACGCAGAGCAAUAAGGGCCACGCGUGGUCCGAUGAGAGUAUGCGUAGAAUAAGCAUCGGCUAACUCCGUGCCAGCAGCCGCGGUAAUACGGGGGAUGCGAGCGUUAUCCGGAUUUAUUGGGUUUAAAGGGUGCGUAGGCGGACUUUCAAGUCAGCGGUAAAAUUUCCGGGCUUAACCUGGUUGUGCCGUUGAAACUGAGAGACUGGAGUGCGCUUGAGGUAGGCGGAAUGCGUUGUGUAGCGGUGAAAUGCAUAGAUAUGACGCAGAACUCCGAUUGCGAAGGCAGCUUACCAAAUCGCUACUGACGCUGAGGCACGAAAGCGUGGGGAUCGAACAGGAUUAGAUACCCUGGUAGU